GCAAGGUUAAAACUCAAAUGAAUUGACGGGGGCCCGCACAAGCGGUGGAGCAUGUGGUUUAAUUCGAUGCAACGCGAAGAACCUUACCUACCCUUGACAUGUAGUGAACUUACCAGAGAUGGUUUGGUGCCUUCGGGAACACUAACACAGGUGCUGCAUGGCUGUCGUCAGCUCGUGUCGUGAGAUGUUGGGUUAAGUCCCGUAACGAGCGCAACCCUUAUCCUUAGUUGCUAGCGGGUAAUGCUGAGAACUCUAGGGAGACUGCCAGUGAUAAACUGGAGGAAGGUGGGGACGACGUCAAGUCAUCAUGGCCCUUAUGGGUAGGGCUACACACGUGCUACAAUGGUCGGUACAGAGGGCCGCAAACUCGCGAGAGUAAGCAAAUCCCAGAAAGCCGAUCUUAGUCCGGAUUGCAGUCUGCAACUCGACUGCAUGAAGUUGGAAUCGCUAGUAAUCGCGGAUCAGAAUGCCGCGGUGAAUACGUUCCCGGGCCUUGUACACACCGCCCGUCACACCAUGGGAGUGGGUUGCAAAAGAAGUAGGUAGUCUAACCUUCGGGAGGGCGCUUACCACUUUGUGAUUCAUGACUGGGGUGAAGUCGUAACAAGGUA
rnacentral:rRNA from 1 species